rnacentral:rRNA from 1 species
UGUGACGUGGGCGACACCACCUGGUACAGGGAACGCUGGAGGCACCUAAAUAGGUGCCUUGGCCAACCCUGUGGCGAGCUUAGGUAGCGCUGAGCCGUCGCAACGCGCGCAAAGGGGUGGGCCAUUAGUUAUAUUAAUGGCUUAAGGUACGUGCUAAUCCCUUGGGUAACCAAGCCUGUGUGAUGAGACCCGACAGGUCAAGGCACAUGGGGAUGAUUCAACCUUUGAAUCAUCGGUCAAUGCAGGAUGAAUUGGUUUCUUCCUGCUUUGAAUAGAUGCUGUGAUGCCCUUAGAUGUUCUGGGCCGCACGCGCGCUACACUGACAGAGCCAACGAGUACAUCACCUUGGCCGAAAGGUCUG